rnacentral:lncRNA from 1 species
UUUUGUAAUUACAAACUUUAUAUAAAAAAAAUAGCUCUCUAUCCCAAAGUAAGUGUAUAGGUAUGGUCCACCUAGACCUAGCUAUAGUAUGUUACUUUCUCUGUUUCUUGAAUCCAAUCAUUACAUGCUAAAAUAGGUUUCUAUAGAGGUAAAAUGUAAUUCUAAGUAAUAUUAUUGAUAACAUCUUUUACACUCUACUAGAAAAACGGAUCUUUAUUUUUUGAAGUAAGGAUGAGCUGCUCCUCUCCUCAGUAUUGAUUGGCGAAAGCCGCGAAGGUUGUUUUGCAGUUGUAGAUGGGGCUCGAUCACUGUAUUCAUUGUGUUGCGCGGCUGCCUUGUUGGAUCUUCAGCAGCCAGUAGUGAAGAAUCCGGUAAAAGCCUGCAAGAGUUUUUUUUUGAGUAUCGCGAAAAAAAAGUUUUAAAAUAUUAUCAUAUGUAACUAUAGUAAUUAGUACUUAAUAAUAAAUUAAUUAAGCUUUAAAAAUCAUCUUAUAAAAUAGAUAUAAACUGUGUAAUUAUUUUUUUAAUCUAGUAUUUUCUCUGUAUAUGUCUAAAUAUUCAAUAUAAUAGGACGAAAAGAUUUUGGAUAGGAACUAAUUCGCAUGCAUGAUCACUGAUGGAAAGAGGGAUGCUUUUGUAGUAGUACUCCUAGCUUGGCCUGCAAAAUGCACUACUGGUAGAUCCCCGCCCUCAUUUUUUUCCCCUUGUCAUUUUCCAUUCGUUUCAGCAUGAAAGAUUUUGGCAGGUGUAAACUGUAAAGGCCUAGGGCUUUGCAUGCACAGCAGAUGGGAUCUGACUACUGUGUUGUGCAGUGGCAAGAGGAACAAUUAUGUCGAAAAAGUCAGGCCUUGUUUAGUUAUAAAAGGUUGUGUGAAGACAAAAAAAAAAUCUUAAUUGUAGUAGUAUAUAUUUGUUGGAGAAUAUGAUGAAUAUUAUUACUGACAUUAUUGGAGUACGUAUAUAGAGAAAAUGGCAUGCAUACAAGGAAUUUCUUAAAUGAAUAUUCCAGAGCAAGUAUCCCCAUAUUCCACACGUUCUCUGAAGUUCUUCCAUUGCUUAAUUAGUCGCUCAAAAUGUCACUUUAGGAAAAGGAAUUUGUAAUUAUGGGUAUAUAUUGAACGUGAUCUUAUAAAUAAACAAUGUCACGUCAGUAGGGGCAUCAUUGGGACACGAUCUGAAUAAGGACAUUCCUAUUUGUUGCACCUUCAAAUUCAGAAGCACAGGGGCUGGUCAAUCUAGCUAGAAUGCAUGCAAAAUGGCCAACCGAAUGAUGGCACACAGCCCAUCCAAUGGCUAGCUGAUGAUGCUUGUCUAGUGGUUUUUUUUACCUGAAGACCGGUGUCCUCGUCGUCCUCUUUUGACCGGCAAAGAAAACCAGCUGCAUGCCUCUCAUCGAAUUGCAUGCUUUAUUUGCAUCAUGACGACGAGGAGCGUCUCUGGUAGGCAGUACACGUACCACGACUAACUUUAUUUUCUCUGCCAAGCCUUGCUGAGAAAUUUGCUAUUAUAACAUUCCAAUCGUGUGAGCUUCGCUAUAAUAGGAUUCGUAACAUCGGCUUUGCAAAAAUAACUCCCGAAACAUUGUCAGUUUGCUAUAAUGACAUUUCAACGUAUUCUAAUUAAAUCUUGAACCAAAUUAAAAUACUUUCAGAUAUUGGCCAUAAUGCCCUUCAGGUAUUCAGAAUCGCCUGUUUCACGUAACCCUCUCCCAUCGCGACUCCUCACGCGCCGCCCUUCUCUCCAUCGCGACUCCUGAAGCGCCGGCCGUAGAUCGAGCCUGAUCUGCCCGCCAGCCGCCGGCCUCUGUCCUCCUCACCUAUUUGGAUCCAUAUUUUUGCUUGUUUGUGUUAUAAUCAUGGUUGAAUCUAUGGUUCGUAUCCAGAGCCUCGCGAACGCGGCAGCCUCGCGCGGCACCUAGCAGGUCAACGGCGAGGAGCCGUCGUCCCAGACGUAGCACGUAGCAGCUUGCCGGCCGGGUAGCGAGCAGCAAGAAGCAUCGGGGUGUUUCGGUCUCUUUGAUGCAAGAACAAGAAAAGAUGGCAGCAGCCGGCCAGGCGCACCAGGCGAGGCUGUUAAUUAGUCCCUAGGGGCAAUAUAGCCAUUAAUUAAAAAUAUUUCGAGUUUGGAAGAGAUUUGAGUAUAAAAUGUUCAAAUUAAGUCUCAAAUGUUAUAAUAACAAAGCAUUAACGAUUCAGGAGUCAUUUUAGCUAAGCAAAUGUUUAGAGUCAUAUUAUAGCGAAGCCCAUAGGAUUGGAGUCCUAUAAUCACAAAUUUCUCAGCCUUGCUUAGAUGCGAAUUUUUUUUGGAUUUCGCUAUUGUAGCAUUUUCGUUUGUUUGUGGCAAAUAUUAUCUAAUUAUGGACUAACUAGGAUCAAAAGAUUUAUCUCGUGAUUUAUAGGUAAAUUGUGCAAUUAUUUUUUAUUUUCAUAUAUAUUUAAUGCUCUAUGUAUGUGUCGAAAGAUUCGAUGUGAUGGGAAAUCUUGAAAACUUUUUGGUUUUCGGGGUGAACUAAACAAGGCCAGAUUGUUCAUCGUUUUUUUAGGCCAUGAUUGAACUAGUAUUGCGCCUGUUUAAAUGGUUCUUUAUAUGCCACAUAAAGAUACUACUACCAGGUUAUAAACCAUGAGAAAUAUAAUUUUAGAGGAAACAAAAAACAAAAUAAUUAAACCGUCGCUAACGUGUAGUACGAGCAAAAGCGAGAUAUGAAAUUUUGGGGACCCAAACCCAAUGCAUUUAUCAUGACCUUCAACACUAUAUAAAGAAAUGAGGCAUUUAACAUGACCUUAAAGGUUCAUCGACCAUCGUCAUAUGGAUUUUUGGGGACCCAAACCCAAUGCAAAAUGCGCAAAUGCAGAAUCAAGAAUGGAGGCGAGAGAUUGUUGAACAAGAGUAUCCUAAAGCCAUAAUUGAGUUUGGGUUGGGAAGGGAUCGCCAGUCUCUUCUAUCACUCUUGAUGGGCCAUUAGCAGGCCAUUCAUGCAUGGGAUCUAAUCAUCACAAUAAGCACCAAUAUGCGCACCUAGUGUUACUGUUUUUAUUUAGAAAAAGUCCAUAUUACUCUCUCCAAGUUUGACCUAUGUUCAAAUAACCCUCUAAACUAACAUUUAGUUCAAUUUACUCCCUCCAACUAUUUAAGCUGGUCCAACUAACACCUUAAAAAGAUUUUUUUUUUCAUUUCUUUAUGCACAAAUUAUAUUUUAGUUUCAAAUUUUGUGAGGUGAUAGAGGACAUUGUAUUUUGUCUUAGAAAAAUGCACUAUGAUUUUUUCAUCAAUAUAUGAUAUUGUAUCUCUAGUGUAAUUUAUUGUUAAAUUUCCUAAGCUAUCAAAAUUUUGGUAAAAAGUUAAAAUAUAUUUUUUUCUAAAAUAACUUAUGAUGUUCUCUAUAAUAUCACAAAAGUUGAUAUUAAAACUCAACUAAUACGUGAAAAAACAGAAAUAACAAAUCAUGUUAAGGGGUAAACUAGACCAACUGAAAUAGUUGGAGGGAGUAAAUUGAACCAAGUUUAGAGGAUAAUCUAGGCAUAUGCCAAACAUGAGGGGAGUAAUUUGGACUUUUUCCUUAAAAAAAAGCAGCGGGCAUGCAUAAUAGGGCAUGUAUUCAGUAAAUUUAUAGCCAUUAGGCAAAUAGAUCGUGCCAAGAAUACCUCGCAACGUCUGGUUGCAGGAAGAGAAAACAAAAGCUAUGAUUAACAUGUUCGCUACUCUGAAAAGUUAUGAUUAUGGAUUGAUAGCAAGUUGGUUGGUAGAAAAAGUAUAGCGAACGGGCACUCAACGAUUCACUCGUCGUUCUCGCCGGCUGGAACCAGAACGGGGAACAAAUGCACGGGCAACAUAUUCCCAGUGCGUGACGUACCGGCGAUGCACGGGGUCGCAAACUAGGAAAUCGUCGAAUGGGAUUUUGGUGGAGAUGCGGCGGGAGAGGAGGACACCUGUGCUUAUGGACGAGAGUUUUAUACGUGUGCCAUUAUAAGAGUUUGCAAUUUAUCUACAAGCAAUUAAAAAGUUGGAGCACUCACAAGUGUUAUUGCUCCGAACUUAUUUGACAUCCACGCCAUUCCGUCUAUAUUAGGUGUUAACGGUGUCAAAUGAAGCUACGAAUAGACUUAAAUACCCUUAAAUCAGAGAAGCGAGCUGAAAUCUCAUUUUCUUUCUGUGCCACUCCUCGGAUGCAAGUAGCAGCAGUAAGCUUCUUUAAUCUAAAAAAAAGCUUCUUUAGUCAGCAGUGAGAGAUAGGUGAACGUGUGCAAGCCAUGGCGCACAAGAGAUCGACUUCGCUAAACCGCCUUCAAGACAAGAUGUUAAGAUAAAGGAAAAAGUUUAUUUUUCCUCCUCCAACUUUCACAAAAUUCCGCUUUUUCUCUCUCAACUCCAAAACCAGGCAAACCACAUUCUUAACUUUUCAAAACGUGCAUUUUACCUCUCCAGAGUGGUUUUGAAAGUGGUUUUGCUACAGUGAAUAGUGAUUUUGCUACAGUUUCAGUUUUAAUUAUUUCGGCUAAAUCUUUGAAAAAUCAUUCACAGGAAAAUUAUAAAAUAGAAAAUUCAAUUUUGUUGGACUCUACAUAAGUAGAUCUACACAAUAAACAUGUAAUAUGGUAUACUUAGUACAAAAUUUUUGCUAUAAAGAUUUUGUCUUUUUCAUUUUAUUUAUUUUGGCUAAAUAAUUGAAAAAUCAUAGUAAAUUAUUGAAAAAUCAUAAAAUAUAAAAUAUAAUUUUGUUAGACUCCACAUGAGCAUAUCUACACAGUAAAUAUAUAAUAUGAUAUGCUUUAGUAUAAUUUUUUUGUUGUAGCUUUAGAUCUAUGCUUUUCUGUAAUUAAUUAAAAUAAUUCAUAGUUGCACCUUCUAUAAUUGUUUGUCGGACUAAAACAUACAUACAUUAUAUGUUCAUUGUGUACAUAUACUCAUGUAGAGUCUAAAAAAAUUAGAUUCUCUAUUUAUUAUUUAUCUAUGAUUUUUUAAAUAUUCAGCCAAAUAAAUUAAAAAAAGAAAAGGACAAAACCUUUAUAGCAAAAAACUUUGUACUAAAGCAUACCAUAUUAUAUGUUUACUAUGUAGAUCUACUUAUGUGGAGUCAAAAAAAUUAGAUUUUCUAUUUUAUGAAUUUUCUGUGAUUUACUAUGAUUUUUCAAAGAUUCAGCAGAAAUAAUUAAAAAGAAAAAAGACAAAACCAUCGUUACUAUAGCAAAACGACUAUACCGUCUUCAAAACCGCUGCUCUAGGGAGGUAAAAUACACGGUUUAAAAAGUUGAGGGAGGUAGUUUGUCCGAUUUUGGAGUUGAGGGAGGAAAAGCGGAUUUUCGUGAAAGUUGGAGGAGAAAAAAUAUACUUUUCCCUAAGAUAAAAGGUUUUAUGGGCUUGGCUGAAAUCUAAAAUAAAUCUAUUAAAUUCUUGCCAAAUACGGAAUUACAAAAAUAUUGAGAGAAAAACACCCAAUCUCGUUCCAAUUCUAAAAAGCUAAAAUCAUCUGUUCCACGUUCCGUAUCAUUUUCAGUUUUUUUUCGAAAAAUACAAAAACUGGCGGGUCAAAUGUGAAAAAUAGGCUGUUGGGAACAUGAAAAUUUUCGUCCAUUUUUAACCCUAAGGCCUUGUUUCCUCGUCACAUCGAAGAUUUAGACGUAUAUAUGAAAUUGCACAGUUUGGUUGAAAUGUACGAGACGAAUCUUUUGAGCCUAGUUAGUCAAUGGUUGGACAAUAAUUACCACAAACAAACGAAAAAUGCUACAGCGUCACGAAAUUUUUCUCUUCACCAACUAAACAUGGCCUAUGUGCUCAAAAAGCUAUCUAUGGGAUUAAAUUAUUCUAUAUGGACUACGUACUAAAACAUUAUAGGCGUUUCUAUAAAUUAAAUAUAGUCUAUAAUAAAAAUUAUCCAUACCACUAUUGACCACCGAUCGAUAAGCAAUAAAAUAUUACUCUCUCUCUUCUCUCUCAUCGUUUUUGCCGUUGCUGCUCACAAGGCCGCUAUAGCUGUUCAUGUCGUCCGCCAGGUUACUAGUUACCACCUCGACCGUUCGUGCAGCCCGUGAGGCUGGUCAUCCAUGCUCCCCGGCAAGGACUUGCGAGAUCGUAGACCUGGUGGCCGGCCAUUUGUGCGCCAUCAGAGAUCCACAAGGCAUGUGUGGUCACUGGCAUGACUAUAUACGCAGCAGGUAAGGUGAUUGGAGAUUGCUGAAUUAGAAAAGGAAAACAUUCGAUCCGGCCUUGCAAAAGCUUCUAGACAUGAAUUGAAAUGAAAAAGAAACGAUUACUUCAAAAUUUAAGAGACGAUGGAGGGCUCCCAAUUGGUUUAAGCAAGAGCUUUAAAGUUGAGAAAGAAAAAAGGGUCGAAGGCUUUGACAUUCAAUCAGCGAAGUUGUUUUGUAUAUUCACCUUUUAUGUUGUACAUAAAUUCCACAUGCAACUCAUCUAUAUGGUACACAUAUAUUCACAUUCUAACAUGUGUACCCUCUACCACACCCGUGGCUCACCGAUGUAGGCCCCAUUUCAAAUGGAGGAACACGAUUUUGAAGGAUUCAACUUCUAUAGAAAAUUUCCUUAUGAUGGAGGUGUUAAAGGAUAACCUUAACAUUCGGCAACAUAGACC